UACGUAGGGUGCGAGCGUUAAUCGGAAUUACUGGGCGUAAAGCGUGCGCAGGCGGUUCGUUGUGUCGGCGGUGAAAUCCCCGGGCUCAACCUGGGAAUGGCCGUUGAAACUGGCGAACUGGAGUGUGGCAGAGGGGGGUGGAAUUCCGCGUGUAGCAGUGAAAUGCGUAGAUAUCGUGAGGAAGACCAGUGGCGAAGGCGGGUCUCUGGACAGUUCCUGACGCUGAGGCGCGAAGGCCAGGGGAGCAGACGGG
rnacentral:rRNA from 1 species